AAUGAACGCUGGCGGCGUGCCUAAUACAUGCAAGUCGAACGCUGGAGAUCUAGCUUGCUAGAUCGAAGGAGUGGCGAACGGGUGAGUAAUACAUAAGCAACCUACCCACGAAGACUGGGAUAAUCUCUGGAAACGGGGACUAAUACCGGAUAGGUAAUCGGAAGGCAUCUUCUGGUUAUUAAAGGUUAAAAACACUGGUGGAUGGGCUUAUGGCGCAUUAGUUAGUUGGUGAGGUAACGGCCCACCAAGACGAUGAUGCGUAGCCGGCCUGAGAGGGUGAACGGCCACAUUGGGACUGAGACACGGCCCAGACUCCUACGGGAGGCAGCAGUAGGGAAUUUUCGGCAAUGGGGGCAACCCUGACCGAGCAACGCCGCGUGAGUGAAGACGGCCUUCGGGUUGUAAAGCUCUGUUGUAAGGGAAGAACGGUAGAUAGAGAAUAUCUAAGUGACGGUACCUUACCAGAAAGCCACGGCUAACUACGUG
rnacentral:rRNA from 1 species